GUGGGGGAGGUGACCGGACACCCCAAAAGGGAGGAACAGACACCAAGGUCCUGGGCGGCAGGCCCAGGCAGGGAGGAAUUCUUUUUUUUUUUUAAUAUUUUUUUUUAAGUUUUUAUUUUUUAUUUUUGAGAGAGAGAGAGAGAGAGAGAGAGAGGAGGAGGAGGAGGAGGGCGGCAGAGGGAGAGGGAGAGGGAGAGAGGGAAUCCCAAGCAGGCUCCUGGCCCAGCACAGAGCCCCACACGGGGCUCGAUUCUGCGACCCUGAGCUCAUGACCUAAGCCAAAAAUCAAGAAUCACUCAACCGACUGAGCCACCCCGGUGCCCCCUGCGUUUUAACUGUUACAGAUAAUCAAGGGAUUGAAUAUUUUGCCUUUUUCUCACUAGGUCGCAUUUCCUUCUGCAGCCAAUGAAGCCGCUCUCGGAGUCCCUAACUCCCAUCGGUAACUGUUACCUCGAGGAACUGAGGGCGCCCAGCUCCACACCUCGAGGGAGCUCCAGGCCGCCCCCCCCCCCCCGGAAUCAGAGGCUUCUCGCCCCCGCCCGUUCUCCCUGGCUCUUCCCAAACCACGUUUCUGACUCAGGGCUGUUCUAGCAAAUCCCACUUCACCCACACCAGCUGUCAUGAAAACCACCAGCCCUAGCGCCUUUAUUUACAACAGUUUUAGGGGGCGCCUGGGGGGGCUCAGUCAGUUAGGCGUCCGACUUCUGCUCAGGUCGUGAUCUCGCGGUCCGUGAGUUCAAGCCCCGCGUCAGCCUCUGUGCUGACAGCUCAGAGCCAGGAGCCUGCUUCGGAGUCUGUGUCUCUCUCUCUCUCUCUCUGCCCCUCCCCUGCUCACACUCUGUCUCUCUCUGUCUCUCUCUCUCUCUGUCUCUCAAAAGUAAAUAAGCAUUAAAAUUUUUAAAUAAAUAAAAUAAAACAAGGGUUUUAGGAGUUUUGUGCCAGCAACUGGGGGUAUAUAUAUUUCACACCGUCUUUGCCAUCAGACUGGUAGAAAUUUAAUUUUUUGUAACGUUCAUUCAUUUUUGAGACACAGAGUGCGAGUGGGGGAGGAGCAGAGAGAAGGAGACACAGAAUCCGAAGCAGGCUCCAGGCCCCCCCGACGCGGGGCUCGAACUCACGAACCCGCGAGAUCACAACCCCGAGCCGAAGGGGGACGCCCAACUGACUGAGCCCCCCAGGGGCCCCCCGACGGGCAGAAAUUUAAAAGUCUGAUGAUGUCAAGUUGCAGCCAGGUGAGAGCCAGGUGAAAUUCAUCAUGGGAUCCGAUCUUCACAUAAAAAAACUCUACGGUAGAAGCAAUGGUCCUCCACCAACCUUCAAGGCUGAGUCUUAAGAAGGCUUGCAGCUUCCGCCCAGGCCUCUGGGAACCUGGUGUCGGGGAAGCCAGCUGCCGUGUCGAAGUCUGAGAGAGCCAUACUGUGAGGACAUCCACGCAGGCCGCAGGGCAGAGGGUGGCUGAAACACAGGCAGAGGGUGACAGAAACGCUGUCCGGCCCCGGUGGAUCCGGGGGUCCAGCCAUCCGGCCCGGGGCGCCAGAUGUGGGAACGAAGAAGCCUUCUGAUGACCCCAGCCCCGGCCACUAUGUACUCAGGAGACCCCCACCCACGUGUCCACGGAGGUCUGUGUACAAGGAUGUGCAUUAGCAGCUUGUUUAUAACACGGAAAAAACGCCAAGAGACGAAGUCCUUCACUGAUGGGAGAGAAAUAAAUCGGGGCAUAAACAUUGGGUGAAAUACCAUACAGCUGUUAACAAACUAAAUCCAAACGCAUCAUCAAGGAUAAAUCUCAUAAACAUUCUGGAAAACAGCUGCCUGGAGUUUUGAGGGGGUUUUUUUUUUUUAGAUUUUUUUUUUUUUAUUUGUAACUAAUCUCUACUGUCAUCGUGGGGCUCAAACUCGCAAUUCCAAGAUCAAGAAUCGCGUGCUCAGGGGGAUGGGCUAACUGGGGGGGGGGGGGAUUAAGGAGGGCACUUGUCAUACACUAUACGUUAACUAACUGGAAUUUAAAUUUUUUGGAGAAAAAAAAAGAGUCACAGGCUCUACCCACUGGGCUAGCCAGGCGCCCCCAACAAGCGGGCUACUUUAGAUUAAAGGACACCUAAGAAAAGACAGCUAAAUGCCAUAUGUGAUCCUUGAUUUCAUCCUGGAUCAAAGAAAACAUCAUCUAACCGGGGCAUUCCUGGGAACAUUCGAACAUGAGCUGUA